rnacentral:misc_RNA from 1 species
AGAGUUACUACUCCAAAACCCAUUGUGAACCUUACCUAUGUUCUGUUGCCUCGGCGGCGUGGUCAGCGCCCCCUCUGAAAAGAGGACGAUGCCCUCCCGCCGGCAGCACCAAACUCUUGAAUUUUACAGCGGAUUACAGUUCUGAUUUGAAAAGAAAAAACAAGUUAA